rnacentral:misc_RNA from 1 species
GAUGAAGAACGUAGCAAAAUGCGAUAAGUAAUGUGAAUUGCAGAAUUCAGUGAAUCAUCGAAUCUUUGAACGCACAUUGCGCCCGCCAGUAUUCUGGCGGGCAUGCCUGUUCGAGCGUCAUUUCAACCCUCAAGCACAGCUUGGUGUUGGGACUCGCGUUAAUUCGCGUUCCUCAAAUUGAUUGGCGGUCACGUCGAGCUUCCAUAGCGUAGUAGUAAAACCCUCGUUACUGGUAAUCGUCGCGGCCACGCCGUUAAACCCCAACUUCUAAAUGUUGACCUCGGAUCAGGUAGGAAUACCCGCUGAACUUAAGCAUAUCAAUAAGCGGAGGA